rnacentral:rRNA from 1 species
AUUGAACGCUGGCGGCAGGCUUAACACAUGCAAGUCGAGCGAGCGGCGGACGGGUGAGUAAUGUCUGGGAAACUGCCUGAUGGAGGGGGAUAACUACUGGAAACGGUAGCUAAUACCGCCUACCAUCUGAUGUGCCCAGAUGGGAUUAGCUAGUAGGUGGGGUAAUGGCUCACCUAGGCGACGAGCCCUAGCUGGUCUGAGAGGAUGAGCAGCCACACUGGAACUGUGACACGGUCCAGACUCCUAGGGGAGGCAGCAGUGGGGAAUAUUGCACAAUGGGCGCAAGCCUGAUGCAGCCAUGCCGCGUGUGUGAAGAAGGCCCUCGGGUUGUAAAGUACGUUCAGCGGGGAGGCGUUACUCGCAGAAGAAGCACCGGCUAACUCCGUGCCAGCAGCCGCGGUAAUAC